rfam:Nematostella vectensis strain CH2 x CH6 NEMVEscaffold_218_Cont19353, whole genome shotgun sequence.
ACAACGGCUCUUUUAGGAGCCACCACUUGUAAUAAAAGUGUUUGAU